rnacentral:rRNA from 1 species
UACGGGGGGCAAGCGUUGUUCGGAAUUACUGGGCGUAAAGGGCUCGUAGGCGGCCAACUAAGUCAGACGUGAAAUCCCUCGGCUCAACCGGGGAACUGCGUCUGAUACUGGAUGGCUUGAAUUCGGGAGAGGGAUGCGGAAUUCCAGGUGUAGCGGUGAAAUGCGUAGAUAUCUGGAGGAACACCGGUGGCGAAGGCGGCAUCCUGGACCGAGAUUGACGCUGAUGCGCGAAAGCCAGGGGAGCAAACGGG